UCCCCUAGUAACUGCGAGUGAAGCGGGAAAAGCUCAAAUUUAAAAUCUGGCGGUCUUUGGCCGUCCGAGUUGUAAUUUAGAGAAGCGUCUUCCGCGCUGGACCGUGCACAAGUCUCCUGGAAUGGAGCGUCAUAGAGGGUGAGAAUCCCGUCUUUGGCACGGAUGCCCGGUGCUUCUGUGAUGCGCUCUCGAAGAGUCGAGUUGUUUGGGAAUGCAGCUCAAAAUGGGUGGUGAACUCCAUCUAAAGCUAAAUAUUGGCGAGAGACCGAUAGCGAACAAGUACCGUGAGGGAAAGAUGAAAAGCACUUUGGAAAGAGAGUGAAACAGUACGUGAAAUUGUUGAAAGGGAAACGCUUGAAGUCAGUCGCGUCGACCGAGACUCAGCCUUGCCUUGGCUUGGUGUACUUCUCGGCCCGACGGGUCAGCAUCAAUUUUGCCCCUCGGAUAAUGGCAAGGGAAAGGUGGCACCUUUACGGGUGUGUUAUAGUCUCCUGUCGCAUGCGAGGGGUGGGAUUGAGGAACUCAGCGCGCACCUUGGUGUYGGGGCUUCGGCCCACGUCACGCGCUUAGGAUGCUGGCGUAAUGGCUUUAAACGACCCGUCUUGAAACACGGACCAAGGAGUCCAACACGCCCGCGAGUGUUCGGGUGGAAAACCCGUGCGCGUAAUGAAAGUGAAAGUUGGGACCUCUGUCGUGGAGGGCACCGACGCCCGGACCAGACCUUCUGUGACGGAUCUGCGGUAGAGCGUGUGUGUUGGGACCCGAAAGAUGGUGAACUAUGCCUGAAUAGGGUGAAGCCAGAGGAAACUCUGGUGGAGGCUCGUAGCGAUUCUGACGUGCAAAUCGAUCGUCAAAUUUGGGUAUAGGGGCGAAAGACUAAUCGA
rnacentral:rRNA from 1 species